rnacentral:rRNA from 1 species
UACGGAGGGUGCGAGCGUUGUCCGGAAUCACUGGGCGUAAAGGGCGCGUAGGCGGCCUGAUAAGUAGGGGGUGAAAUCCUGCGGCUUAACCGCAGGGCUGCCUUCUAAACUGUCAGGCUAGAGCACAGUAGAGGCAGGUGGAAUUCCCGGUGUAGCGGUGGAAUGCGUAGAGAUCGGGAAGAACAUCAGUGGCGAAGGCGGCCUGCUGGGCUGUUGCUGACGCUGAGGAGCGAAAGCGUGGGGAGCGAACAGG